rnacentral:rRNA from 1 species
AUUGAACACUGGCGGCAUGCUUUACACAUGCAAGUCGAACGGUAACAGGCCGCAAGGUGCUGACGAGUGGCGAACGGGUGAGUAAUGCAUCGGAACGUGCCCAGUCGUGGGAGAUAACGCAGCGAAAGCUGCGCUAAUACCGCAUACGAUCUAUGGAUGAAAGCGGGGGACCGUAAGGCCUCGCGCGAUUGGAGCGGCCGAUGUCAGAUUAGGUAGUUGGUGGGGUAAAGGCUCACCAAGCCGACGAUCUGUAGCUGGUCUGAGAGGACGACCAGCCACACUGGGACUGAGACACGGCCCAGACUCCUACGGGAGGCAGCAGUGGGGAAUUUUGGACAAUGGGCGCAAGCCUGAUCCAGCAAUGCCGCGUGCAGGAAGAAGGCCUUCGGGUUGUAAACUGCUUUUGUACGGAACGAAACGGCUCUGGUUAAUACCUGGGGCUAAUGACGGUACCGUAAGAAUAAGCACCGGCUAACUACGUGCCAGCAGCCGCAGUAAAAC